AUUGAACGCUGGCGGAAUGCUUUACACAUGCAAGUCGAACGGCAGCACGGACUUCGGUCUGGUGGCGAGUGGCGAACGGGUGAGUAAUGUAUCGGAACGUGCCCAGUCGUGGGGGAUAACGUAGUGAAAAUUACGCUAAUACCGCAUACGAUCUAUGGAUGAAAGCGGGGGAUCGCAAGACCUCGCGCGAUUGGAGCGGCCGAUAUCAGAUUAGGUAGUUGGUGGGGUAAAGGCCCACCAAGCCAACGAUCUGUAGCUGGUCUGAGAGGACGCACAGCCACACUGGAAAUGAGACACGGUCCAGACUCCUACGUGAGGCAGCAGAGGGGAAUUUUGGACAAUGGGCGAAAGCCUGAUCCAGCCAUUCCGCGUGCAGGAUGAAGGCCCGCGGGUUGUAAACUGCUUUUGUACAGAACGAAAAGGUUUCUACUAAUACUAGGAGCUCAUGACGGUACUGUAAGAAUAAGCACCGGCUAACUACGUGCCAGCCGCCGCAGUAA
rnacentral:rRNA from 1 species